rnacentral:rRNA from 1 species
AAUGGGCGGAAGCCUGAACCAGCCAUGCCGCGUGCAGGACGACGGCCCUACGGGUUGUAAACUGCUUUUCCGGGGGAAGAAUAACCCCCCUGCGGGGGGGGAUGCCGGUACCCCGGGAAUAAGGAUCGGCUAACUCCGUGCCAGCAGCCGCGGUAAUACGGAGGAUCCUAGCGUUAUCCGGAUUUACUGGGUUUAAAGGGUGCGUAGGCGGGCGUUUAAGUCCGCGGUGAAAGUCUGCGGCUCAACCGUAGGAUUGCCGUGGAUACUGGACGUCUUGGAUUCGGUCGGGGCGGGCGGAAUGCGUGGUGUAGCGGUGAAAUGCAUAGAUAUCACGCAGAACGCCGAUAGCGAAGGCAGCUCGCCGGGCCGAAAUCGACGCUGAGGCACGAAAGCGUGGGGAUCAAA